rnacentral:tRNA from 1 species
GGAGAGGUGACAGAGCGGUCGAAUGUGCCGGUCUUGAAAACCGGAGUCCUGGAAACGGGACCGUGGGUUCGAAUCCCACCCUCUCCGCAA